GACUUCUUCUGCAACUGACGGAAUUAAGGUGGUUACCACCGGGGAGCUGGAGAUAUUUUAUAAGCCGACCGUCUGGGCAGAAAGA
rnacentral:ncRNA from 2 species